rnacentral:rRNA from 1 species
GUACACUCCUGCGGGAGGCAGCAGUGGGGAAUAUUGCACAAUGGGCGCAAGCCUGAUGCAGCCAUGCCGCGUGUAUGAAGAAGGCCUUCGGGUUGUAAAGUACUUUCAGCGGGGAGGAAGGCAAUACGGUUAAUAACCGUGUUGAUUGACGUUACCCGCAGAAGAAGCACCGGCUAACUCCGUGCCAGCAGCCGCGGUAAUACGGAGGGUGCAAGCGUUAAUCGGAAUUACUGGGCGUAAAGCGCACGCAGGCGGUCUGUCAAGUCGGAUGUGAAAUCCCCGGGCUCAACCUGGGAACUGCAUUCGAAACUGGCAGGCUUGAGUCUUGUAGAGGGGGGUAGAAUUCCAGGUGUAGCGGUGAAAUGCGUAGAGAUCUGGAGGAAUACCGGUGGCGAAGGCGGCCCCCUGGACAAAGACUGACGCUCAGGUGCGAAAGCGUGGGGAGCAAACAGGAUUAGAAACCCGUGUAGUCCCA